ACUGGAGACGCAAUGUACACUGUUACACGUUUACCUUUAGUUUUUUACAGUAGUACUACUACUGCAAUAUCAGUGGUAUUACUGCAGUAUCAGUGGUAUUACUGCAGUAUCAUAUCAGUGGUAUUACUGCAAUAUCAGUGGUAUUACUGCAGUAUCAGUGGUAUUACUGCAGUAUCAUAUCAGUGGUAUUACUGCAAUAUCAGUGGUAUUACUGCAGUAUCAGUGGUAUUACUGCAAUAUCAGUGGUAUUACUGCAGUAUCAGUGGUAUUACUGCAGUAUCAUAUCAGUGGUAUUACUGCAAUAUCAGUGGUAUUACUGCAGUAUCAGUGGUAUUACUGCAGUAUCA